rnacentral:ribozyme from 1 species
AGAGGAAGAAAUAGAGGAAGAAAAAAGGAAAAGGAAAGAAAAGCAAAGGAGGUCAAAGAAC